CUUGUACUCACUCCGUCUGAAAAUACUUGUCAUUGAAAUGGAUGUAUCUAGAUGUAUUUUAGUUCUAGACACAUCCAUUUUGAUGACAAGUAAUUACGGAUGGAGGGAGUACUUG
rfam:Triticum aestivum genome assembly, contig: Triticum_aestivum_CS42_TGACv1_scaffold_649879_T_7AS-0.037060_4DL-0.030993